AGCCCAGCUAUUUCUACCCUAAAGUCAGAAGAUCCUGUCUGAUCUUGGAAGGUAAGCAGUGUCAAUCCUGGUUCAUACUUAGAUAGGAGGCUGCCAAUGAAUACCAGGGGUGUUGACUC
rnacentral:rRNA from 11 species